rnacentral:lncRNA from 1 species
CAGGGCGCUCCCCCGGGCCCCCCUCCCUGGAGGGGAGGGGAUUUUCCCCCGGGAGAGAUUCCCGGCAGCACCGUCCCACUUGGGGGAUGUGUGUCCGUGCACGCAUGUUGGAGUCCAUGCGAAGACGCACGCGAGCGGGGCCGUUGCACCGAUGUUUAGAGUCUCGCACUUGAGUUGCGGCCGCUCCCGCGGCGGCACAAGACCUACCGACCGUCCCGGGGGGGCCUAGAUGGGGAGCAAGGGGCGCCCCGAAUCUAAGUCUCCCCUCGCCGGGGCUCGGUGGGGAGGAAGGGGCGCCCCGACUUCGCGUCUUCCCCCUCCAGGGUUCAGUCUCUGCAUCGGUGAGGAGGAAGGGGAGCCCCGACUUCGCAUUGUCCCUCUCCAGGGUUCAGACUCUGCAUCACUGGGGAAGAAGGGGGGCCCCGAUUUUGCAUCUUCUCUCUCUAGGGUUCAGUCUCUGCAUCGGUGAGGAGGAAGGGGAGCCCCGACUUUGCGUCUCCCCUCUCCAGGGUUCAGUCUCUGCAUCACUGAGGAGGAAGGGACCCCCUACGACUUUGCGUCUCCCCUCUCCAGGGUUCAGUCUCCGCAUCGGUGGGGAGGAAGGGGCGCCCCGACUUUGCGUCUCCCUUCUCCAGGGUUCAUUCUCUGCAUCGGUGGGGAGGAAAGGGGAGCCCCGACUUCGCGUCCCCCCUCUCCAGGGUUCAGUCUCUGCCUCGGUGGGGAGGAAGGGGAGCCCCGACUUUGCGCCUCCCCCGUCCGGGGUUCAUUCUCUGCCUCAGUGGGCUGGUGUCCGCCUUGGCCCUCCCACACUUUCGUUUUCUCCCCAGCCCCCGUGUCCGGGGUUUGGCGGGGGGGGUCCGCCGGCCGGUUUGAGGUCCGGGGCUGCCGCGGGGAGGGAAGGGCCCCGGUGACCGACCCCGGGUCCGGACGGGGGCCGCACCCCAACCCGUGGCCAACAGCCCAGGCGCUGGGAACGCCCCCUCCCUCCCUCCUUCCCUCCCUCUCUCCCUCCCUGCCCUGCCUCCCUCUUCUCCCUCCUCUCCCCCCGUCCCUGCCCCCGUGCCCCACCGUCCCCCCCCCCGUGCCCGGCUCCUCCGCCCUGCCCCUUCCCCCCGCAGCCAAGCUGCCCCUCUCCCUUCGGCCUGCUCUCCCGAAAAGCCUUCUCCAGGCCGGAGGGAGCUGCAGCUCGGGCGCGAAGGCCGAUCC